UAUUAAAUAAAAAUAUUAAUUUGAAAGCAUAAAACAAAAGAGUUUGGCGGUGUUUCAUUCGAUUAGGGGAUCCUGUAGUUUAAAUUGAUAAUCCACAGUUUAUAGGUCUAAUAUUUGAAAAUGUCAAUAAAUGUAUUGCCGUAUUAUAAUUCUCUAUAGAGGAAUUAUAUAAUCUAUAUUUGUUAUAUAAAUCACAGGUAAAAUAUUGUUUAUAUAUUAGUAUUAAUGGGAUACUUUAAUUUAAAGAUAUUAUUAAUACUAGAAUAAAGGUAUUAAAAAAUAGGACUUAAUAGUAAUUUAUCUUAUUAAGGUUAAUGAAUUAGAACUUGAAAUAAGC
rnacentral:rRNA from 1 species